UACGAAGGGGGCUAGCGUUACUCGGAUUGACUGGGCGUAAAGGGCGCGUAGGCGGCUUGUACAGUCAGACGUGAAAUUCCUGGGCUCAACCUGGGGGCUGCGUUUGAUACGUAUGGGCUUGAGUUCGGAAGAGGGUCGUGGAAUUCCCAGUGUAGAGGUGAAAUUCGUAGAUAUUGGGAAGAACACCGGUGGCGAAGGCGGCGACCUGGUCCGAUACUGACGCUGAGGCGCGAAGCGUGGGGAG
rnacentral:rRNA from 1 species